GAGAGAAGGAGGCAAACCUGGGACACAGGGAGCCCAGGAUUGUGGCACAGAGGCCUUCCCCCAAGGAGUUUUUGCCCAAAUAGAAAGCAGAAACCUCCUAGGAUGCCAAGGCAGCCAAAUGGGCCAAAUUCUGCGGAAGGCUGAAUGACCUUGAGAAACGGCUCCAUUUCCCGCCGUUCAAGGGGGAUAUGGUCAAUAAGGCGGCCUGAAGGGUUGCUGAAGCGCCUUCCCCAAGUGGCUGUUAUAUCGCGAUUGCCCAAGUCCUUUGGCAGCAGCCCAAGGUGUGUGAAGGCAGUGCCAGCUGGGUGAAGAAGACCUCAAGUCAAACCACAAAUUCCCACCCAGUGCUCACCCCAACCACAGCCUCAGGCAGAAAGAAGCCCUUCUAAGGCCCCCCUGGGGUCUCGGGACCUGAGCAGAAGACAAGUUGAAGAAAUCUGACAGAUGAUCUCCCAUCUCCCCCAAAAGCAGGCAGGACACCGAAAACUAGAGGCCGCGAGUUGGGAAGGAAGGAGCCCAGCUCAGAGAAGAUGGACGUGAGCCCCCUCCUUCUACAAACAACCCCUGAAGCAGCGGACAGAGCAGCAGAAGCCUUUGCUCUGGCUCUCCACGCCAGGCUGAGGUCGGGGCCAGGGUCUGCGCCUAGGCCUGGGCACAGGCUUCACUAGGGCCCAAAGGGAUCCGCAACUGUGACCACAAGUUCAGCCCAAAGCCGGUAAUGAGCUCCCAAGGGAGCACCUUACUCACACGUCCAUUAAUCUUCCCCCAGAUGACUGCCAUCCGGGGGAGUGGUGGGCAAGGUGGGCAAGCUCUGGUUUGCUUGGCAGGAGGGGUGCUGAGGAGGGGAGAUGGCACUUUGCUGUCUGCAAGCACCGCCCUGCUGGAGGUCACUGGAGCUCACGCACAAAGUGCUCCCAGCCACUGCCCAGAGCACGAUCCAACACACAGGAAGGGCUGGCCAGCUGCCGGCACCUCUGGCGUUCCUGUCCCCGGGCCUGGAACACACCAGGAGAGACCUGGAGGCUUCUGGGCUCAGGGAGAAGGAAGGAGAGCCAGCUUUUGCUGGGUGGCGUGGGAACCCUUCCCCACCACAAGAGAGGGAGGCCCAAGUGUCUGCACACCAAGUCUCCUCCUGUGGCCCCUGAGCGGCAGCAAGGUGGGGCCUACCAUUACCUGGGCCAACCCAGGGUGCAGCUAUCCCAACUCCCCAUCUCUGGGAGCACAGAAUCACCUGCUCUUUGUCUCCCACACGGGGGUGACCAUUGACACGGGAACACAUGCGUCCUCACUGGCUAACAGCAGCUCUGGACCCGCUCCCGGCAGUACCUGGGGCUGUCGGGCUCCAGAAAGGCCUGGGGAGGAACAGACAGAACUGGGGACUUGCCACACCACCCAGGUGAGCUCCUGAGACCCAGCUGGGCCAGUGAGGACCUGGGGUUUCUCAUCUCCUGAGAAAGUUCACAUAGGAAAAAAACAUGCCCUGUCCCUGGCAAAACACUCAGGAGCAUAGCAGUGCUGAGGUUCGGGCGGCCCGGACAGAACUGGAAAACUGCUGUUUAUCCCAAAGCCAUCACGUCACCGAACCCGAGACUGGGGGGGCUUACUGACAGUGCAGAGAAUACAAGGUUGGGAGGGACCUGCACCUAAUCUCUUCCGGAGCCUGGCCCACAAUCUACUAGGGAAGAGACAGCUCCCAGAUCUGCACCUAAAUAAGAAAAGUAUUCUCAAGUUCUUUGAAUCUGGACCCCACUGGACCUGAAUGCUGGCUGCAAGGAAGGCUGGGCAGCCCAGAAGCAACAGAGUGCUUGUUCCUCCUGUACCUUCUCGGUGAACCCUGCCCAGAGUCCCCCAAUGACUGGUACCCUCUUUCUCUGUUCAGCCAUUUCUAUCUAAAAGGUGCCAUGAGCUUUCUUUUUCUUUUGAAAUUUUCUUUUUUAUUUAUCUUUAACACACAUUUACAUUCAGUCUCCUCGGAUCUUUUUCUGGACGCAGAUGGCGUUUUCUCUCCAGAGUUUCCUGGGAUUGCCUUGGAUCCCUGAUCCCUGAGAAGAGCUGAGCCUUUCACAGUUGACCAUCCCAUGUUCUUGCUGCUUCUGUAUACAGUGUAUCCCAGCUCAUUUCGCUCAUUAUCAGUUCAUAUAAAUCGUUGCGGGCCUUUCUAAAA